AUUGAACGCUGGCGGCAGGCCUAACACAUGCAAGCCGAGCGGAGCGGCGGACGGGAGAGUAAUGCCUAGGAAUCUGCCUGGCAGUGGGGGAUAACGUCCGGAAACGGGCGCUAAUACCGCAUACUAUCAUAUGAGCCUAGGUCGGAUUAGCUAGUGGGUGGGGUAAAGGCAUACCAAGGCGACGAGCCGUAACUGGUCUGAGAGGAUGAUCAGUCACACUGUAACUGAGACACGGUCCAUAGUCCUACGGUAGGCAGCAGUGAGGAGGAUUGGACAAUGGGCGAAAGCCUGAUCCAGCCAUGCCGCGUGUGUGAUGAAGGUCUUCGGAUUGUAAAGCACUUUAAGUUGGGAGGCGUUACCAACAGAAUGGGGACCGGCGAACUUCGGGCCAGCAGCCGCGGUAAUUC
rnacentral:rRNA from 1 species